UACAGAGGUCCCAAGCGUUGUUCGGAUUCACUGGGCGUAAAGGGUGCGUAGGCGGUCGGGUAAGUCUGAUGUGAAAUCUCACAGCUUAACUGUGAAACUGCAUUGGAUACUAUCCGGCUAGAGGAAUGGAGGGGAGACUGGAAUACUUGGUGUAGCAGUGAAAUGCGUAGGUAUCAAGUGGAACACCAGUGGCGAAGGCGAGUCUCUGGACAUUUCCUGACGCUGAGGCACGAAAGCGUGGGGAGCAAACAGG
rnacentral:rRNA from 1 species